GCAUAGGACUGACUGAACUCCUCAUUUUGAGUCACCCUAAGAAGGAUGUGUGGAAGACUUGACUGGAGGAUCAAAAUGUGUCGGGGGAAGGUGUACAAGGAGGAGUAAGGACACAGAUGUCCUGACUUCACACAGUGGGGGAUUAGAAGCCACCAUCAAACACAGAUGAAACAGGAAUAAAAGUAGUAGUACAUUACUUAAGCUUUAAAAGGGUAAGACUCCUGGGAAUUUGGAAGCUGAGACUUGAGGCAAGUAUUUAGGAUUUGCUGUCUCACCUCCCUGCUAUGACAGUCCUUAAUUAAUGGAGAUGAUGGAGAACAGCUUGCUGGGCUGAGUGGCAGGAGCCAUGCAGCUGCUGGGGCUGGAGUGGGUCAGGAAGCUUCAUCAAUCUGGGACACAUGACGUGCUUGGUGGUGGCGGAGCCUGACGCAUCCCUCUUCAUCGACAUUGUGUCAAUAGGAGCAGAGGCAUUUAGCUGUGUAAACACAGAGCUUCAGUGGCAGCACCCUAAAUGCUUAGCUGAUAGAUCCGGAAUUAAAUACAGACCUAGAAACUGGAGUUGGAAAACUUCCUGGCAGCACUCCUUCCCUGCCAUCCCGGUGAUCCCCUUCUGGAUGGAGGGUGUGGAGCUCAGCACAUUCACGUCUGCAGGCGUUAUACUUAUAACUUUACAG
rnacentral:lncRNA from 1 species